ACCUCGGUGGUGUAGUGCUCAAGGCGCUCGCCUGUUAAACAGGAUGGCGUGGGUUCAAUCCCAGCCGAGGUA
rfam:Asian citrus Psyllid, Diaphorina citri - Florida Strain, whole genome shotgun sequence.